CGAAAGCCUGAUGGAGCAACGCCGCGUGUGUGAUGAAGGCUUUCGGGUCGUAAAGCACUGUUGUAUGGGAAGAACAGCUAGAAUAGGGAAUGAUUUUAGUUUGACGGUACCAUACCAGAAAGGGACGGCUAAAUACGUGCCAGCAGCCGCGGUAAUACGUAUGUCCCGAGCGUUAUCCGGAUUUAUUGGGCGUAAAGCGAGCGCAGACGGUUGAUUAAGUCUGAUGUGAAAGCCCGGAGCUCAACUCCGGAAUGGCAUUGGAAACUGGUUAACUUGAGUGCAGUAGAGGUAAGUGGAACUCCAUGUGUAGCGGUGGAAUGCGUAGAUAUAUGGAAGAACACCAGUGGCGAAAGCGGCUUACUGGACUGUAACUGACGUUGAGGCUCGAAAGUGUGGGUAGCAAACAGGAUUAGAUACCCUGGUAGUCCACACCGUAAACGAUGAACACUAGGUGUUAGGAGGUUUCCGCCUCUUAGUGCCGAAGCUAACGCAUUAAGUGUUCCGCCUGGGGAGUACGACCGCAAGGUUGAAACUCAAGGAAUUGACGGGGACCCGCACAGCGGUGGAGCAUGUGGUUUAAUUCGAAGCACGCGAGAACCUUACCAGGUCUUGACAUCCUUGAGCUUUUAGAGAUAGAGUGUCUCUU
rnacentral:rRNA from 1 species